UACGGAGGAUCCGAGCGUUAUCCGGAUUUAUUGGGUUUAAAGGGAGCGUAGGCGGGUUGUUAAGUCAGUUGUGAAAGUUUGCGGCUCAACCGUAAAAUUGCAGUUGAAACUGACACCCUUGAGUGAGUGAGAAGUAAGCGGAAUGCGUGGUGUAGCGGUGAAAUGCAUAGAUAUCACGCAGAACGCCGAUUGCGAAGGCAGCUUACCGGCGCUCAACUGACGCUGAGGCACGAAAGUGCGGGUAUCGAACAGG
rnacentral:rRNA from 1 species